AUGCACGCUGGCGGCGUGCCUAAUACAUGCAAGUCGAGCGAACGGACGAGAAGCUUGCUUCUCUGAUGUUAGCGGCGGACGGGUGAGUAACACGUGGAUAACCUACCUAUAAGACUGGGAUAACUUCGGGAAACCGGAGCUAAUACCGGAGAAUAUUUUGAACCGCAUGGUUCAAAAGUGAAAGACGGUCUUGCUGUCACUUAUAGAUGGAUCCGCGCUGCAUUAGCUAGUUGGUAAGGUAACGGCUUACCAAGGCAACGAUGCAUAGCCGACCUGAGAGGGUGAUCGGCCACACUGGGACUGAGACACGGUCCAGACUCCUACGGGAGGCAGCAGUAGGGAAUCUUCCGCAAUGGGCGAAAGCCUGACGGAGCAACGCCGCGUGAGUGAUGAAGGUCUUCGGAUCGUAAAACUCUGUUAUUAGGGAAGAACAUAUGUGUAAGUAACUGUGCACAUCUUGACGGUACCUAAUCAGAAAGCCACGGCUAACUACGUG
rnacentral:rRNA from 1 species